rnacentral:lncRNA from 1 species
CCUGUGUCAAACCUCUCUCCAUACCUGUGCUGUCUCCCUCUAUCAAGGCAUCUCCUUUCUUGCCCUCCUCUGUAGGAAGCCGGUUCCUGCAUUAUAAUGCUGCCUGAAGACACCAAGGUGUGAAUUACUUCACAGGCGCCGGGUUAUCUCCAUUCCUUUGAUCUCUGCCUAUCCCGUGGCUCAUUUUAGCCUGAGGAGCUAAAGCCAUUCAUAGGCUUGUCUGCAGAAGGAUCCGAGUGUCCUGCGUGUAUUUCUUGCUGGCGAGGAAUACAGAGCGGGCGCGGGACACUCCUCUAUUCCUCCCCUGUCACAGUCCUCUUCUUCUCUUCCCCCUUCCUCUUCUUCCCUUCCC